rnacentral:rRNA from 1 species
UACGUAGGGUGCAAGCGUUGUCCGGAAUUAUUGGGCGUAAAGAGUUCGUAGGCGGUUUGUCGCGUCCGUUGUGAAAGCUUGGGGCUCAACCCCAAGUCUGCAGUGGAUACGGGCAGACUAGAGUCAGGUAGGGGAGAACGGAAUUCCUGGUGUAGCGGUGAAAUGCGCAGAUAUCAGGAGGAACACCGGUGGCGAAGGCGGUUCUCUGGGCCUGUACUGACGCUGAGGAACGAAAGCGUGGGGAGCGAACAGGAUUAGAUACCCUGGUAGUCCACGCCGUAAACGGUGGGCGCUAGAUGUGGGGACCUUCCACGGUUUCUGCGUCGCAGCUAACGCAUUAAGCGCCCCGCCUGGGGAGUACGGUCGCAAGACUAAA